rfam:Citrus clementina cultivar Clemenules unplaced genomic scaffold scaffold_4, whole genome shotgun sequence.
AUAAUAAGAGCCUGUUAGACUAGCCAAAGACGACUUGCCUCAGAAACUAGGCAAGGAUUCGAGCUAUAUAUGCAGCUAAGCUAAAUUUGAGAGACCUUGCUUCAGAAGCAAGGCAAGUCAUCCUUGGCUAUCAAACAAAGCUCUUUAUC